CCUACGGGAGGCAGCAGUAAGGAAUAUUGGUCAAUGGACGCAAGUCUGAACCAGCCAUGCCGCGUGGAGGAUGAAGGUCCUCUGGAUUGUAAACUUCUUUUAUUUGGGAAGAAACCCGGGAUUUCUAUUCCGGUUGACGGUACCAGAUGAAUAAGCACCGGCUAACUCCGUGCCAGCAGCCGCGGUAAU
rnacentral:rRNA from 1 species